rnacentral:antisense_RNA from 1 species
UAGGAUAUGGUAAAUCUGUUGCGGUCCCAAGUUGGUGGGUUUUUCUAGGAAGAGUCAGACCCUUUAAAAGGACCUUUUAUCAUCUACCAAACAAAUCCUUCAUUUAUUAAUUCCCAAGGUUUUCUCCAUCGGUUGGCUUACUGUCAUGGAAAUUGAUCUUGUUUUAAUAGCUACUUACUUUUUUUUAUUCUAAUCAAUGAUUUCAUUUGAAAAGAAAAUUUUCAAACAUGGGGAAAGCUGCAAUAUAAGAAGAAAACAAUGGAGAGACAUCGUCACUGGAAAAAUACUACGGGCCACUCUCUAUACCAUCCUGCACCCCCAGAUGGAGAAACUGAGGGAAGUCGUGGCCUUUCAACACUCUUGGGUCUCCAUCUGGCUUGGAAGGGAACGAAAUGGCUGUCAAGAGUCUCAGAAGCGCACUUUCCCCGUGGUUCCUCCGGGUAACCCUGACUCACUUUUCAUCUACCCAUCCCCUCCAAAACAAGGCCUAGCCAGUUCCAAGCUGGAGAGGUGACCCAGAGUUGCCUUCUGUCAUGUCCUGCCUUUCGUCUCGAGUCCACUAACCCCACUCAGACUCUGUCUGCUCCCACCCCCACCGCGGCCAGUGAAAUCCCAAUCGUCUUCCACGUGGAACCCCAGGUCCGCAGUUAUGAUAACGGAUCACAUCGCUCCUGCGGAAAGUGCGCGCGGUGGAGUGAUAAUUGGACCUAGCGUCUAAAUUCUUGUUGGAGGACCUCGUUCCAGCUGCCAGUUAAGCCUCUGGGAUCCGCAGCGUCUUGACUUCUGAGGUGGGUUUAGAAGCUCUGUUCGCCUCAGUUUCCCACGAUUGAGGGGCUGUGUGAAGGGAGGUCCAGGUUCAAUGGUACUGCGAGAACCACAUGUCUAAGUCGUUGUAACCCGAAUGGGGAAGCCUCCACCGGCGGUUAUCUCCUCCUCCUCCUAGCCUGGGCUAGAGACGAAUUAUCAGGAACAGCCGCGCUCCCGCGGAUUCUGGUGCUGCUCGCGUCCCCGCUCCCCUAUUCCCCUUAUUUUAUUCCUGGCUC